GAUGAACGCUGGCGGCGUGCCUAAUACAUGCAAGUCGAGCGAACAGACGAGGAGCUUGCUCCUCUGACGUUAGCGGCGGACGGGUGAGUAACACGUGGAUAACCUACCUAUAAGACUGGGAUAACUUCGGGAAACCGGAGCUAAUACCGGAUAAUAUAUUGAACCGCAUGGUUCAAUAGUGAAAGACGGUUUUGCUGUCACUUAUAGAUGGAUCCGCGCCGCAUUAGCUAGUUGGUAAGGUAACGGCUUACCAAGGCAACGAUGCGUAGCCGACCUGAAAGACUGAUAGCCCACACUGGAACUGAGACACGCUCCAAACUCCUACGGGAGGCAGCAGUAGGCAAUCUUCGGCAAUGGGCGAAAGCCUGACGAAGCAACGCCGGGUGAGUGAUGAAGGUCUUGGGAUCGUAAAACUCUGUUAUUAGGGAAGAACAAAUGUGUAAGUAACUAUGCACGUCUUGACGGUACCUAAUCAGAAAGCAUCGGCUAACUCCGUG
rnacentral:rRNA from 1 species